rnacentral:rRNA from 1 species
ACUCAAAUGAAUAGACGGGGGCCCGCACAAGCGGUGGAGCACGUGGUUUAAUUCGAUGCAAACCGAAGAACCUUACCUGGGUUUGACAUGUAGGUAUUAGUGAGGUGAAAGCCGAGCGAUCCUGGCUUGCCAGGAAGCCUAUGCAGGUGCUGCAUGGCUGUCGUCAGCUCGUGUCGUGAGAUGUUGGGUUAAGUCCCGCAACGAGCGCAACCCUUGUUGUCAGUUGCCAUCGGGAGAGCCGGGCACUCUGGCGAGACUGCCGCCGACAAGGCGGAGGAAGGUGGGGACGACGUCAAGUCAUCAUGGCCUUUAUGCCCAGGGCGACACACGUGCUACAAUGGGGUGCACAGAGGGAAGCGAUGGAGCGAUCCGGAGCGGAUCCCAGAAAGCGCCUCUCAGUUCGGAUUGUAGUCUGCAACCCGGCUACAUGAAGCCGGAAUCGCUAGUAAUCGCGGAUCAGCCAAGCCGCGGUGAAUACGUUCCCGGGCCUUGUACACACCGCCCGU